GACAGUAAUUUCAUGUUUUUAUUUAUUCUGCUUGCUCACAAUGCAAAUUGAAUAUAAAGUAUUUUUAAGUAUGGGUUCAAAACAAAGUAUUUCAACCAUUCCUGUUCCUUUUUCAGUUUCUGGAUGUUCUUGUCCAACACAUCACCGUUCACCCACAAGGUCUGAAUCAUCAGAAGCAUUUAGUCCAGAGUCAGCCAGGUCUAGGUGUUCUCGCACACCUCAGCUUGGAGUUCGAAAGCCAUCACAGUCCGGGAGCAGAAAAAGUCGGGCGUCCUCAUCCAGAUCUAUGGGUUCUUGCACACCUCAGCGUGGAGUUCGUAAGCAAUCACAGUCCGGGAGCAGAAAA